rnacentral:rRNA from 1 species
GAUGAACGCUGGCGGCGUGCCUAAUACAUGCAAGUCGAGCGAACAGACGAGGAGCUUGCUCCUCUGACGUUAGCGGCGGACGGGUGAGUAACACGUGGAUAACCUACCUAUAAGACUGGGAUAACUUCGGGAAACCGGAGCUAAUACCGGAUAAUAUAUUGAACCGCAUGGUUCAAUAGUGAAAGACGGUUUUGCUGUCACUUAUAGAUGGAUCCGCGCCGCAUUAGCUAGUUGGUAAGGUAACGGCUUACCAAGGCGACGAUGCGUAGCCGACCUGGGAGGGUGAUCGGCCACACUGGAACUGAGACACGGUCCAAACUCCUACGGGAGGCAGCAGUAGGGAAUCUUCCGCAAUGGGCGAAAGCCUUACGGAGCACCGCCGCGGGAGUGAUGAAGGGCUUCGGAUCGUAAAACUCUGUUAUGAGGGAAGAACAAAUGGGUAAGUAACUAUGCACUGCUUGACGGUACCUAAUAAGAAAGCCACGGCUAACUACGUG